rnacentral:tRNA from 1 species
GCACCCGUAGCUCAGUUGGAUAGAGUAUCUGGCUACGAACCAGAGGGUCGGGCGUUC